GAAGGUCUAAGAAAUCCUACCUAUAACUAUUAGCUAUCAUUUCUCAUUUCCUCUCUCUCUCUGUCUGUAGAAAAAAAAGAAGGAAAAACAUAGAUCUCAUUGAAUCUGUACAUUAUUCUUUCCCAGAUUCCCUUUCACAUUUUCCAGUCUCCAUGGCGGGUUCUGCUGGCCCCAAUGAUUUUGGCGGUCGCACGAGCGUCCGUGUUGUUGUUGUCGGUGACCGUGGCACUGGAAAAUCAAGCCUCAUUGUGACUAUCGCGGCCGAAUCGUUUCCAGAAAACGUCCCAUCCGUCUUGCCGCCCACUCGUCUGCCAUCCGAUUUCUACGCAGACCGUGUCCCCAUCACCAUCAUUGACACCUCAUCCAGCCCGGAGCAUAGAGGUAAGCUUGCUACUGAAUGCAAGCUGGCGGAUGCAGUUUUACUGACAUAUGCAUGUGAUCAGCCGUCCACGCUUGACAGACUGAGUACCUUCUGGCUUCCAGAACUUCGUCGGUUGGAGGUGAAGGUGCCAGUGAUUGUUGUUGGUUGCAAGUUAGAUUUGAGAGAUGAGCAACAACAAGUUAGCUUGGAGCAGGUGAUGUCGCCAAUCAUGCAACAGUUUCGGGAGAUUGAGACAUGUAUUGAAUGCUCGGCAUUGAAGCAAGUUCAGGUUCCCGAAGUUUUCUAUUAUGCCCAAAAGGCGGUGCUUCAUCCGACUGCCCCGCUAUUUGAUCAGGAAGCACAAACUUUAAAGCCUCGAUGUGUGAGGGCUUUGAAACGUAUUUUCAUUCUUUGUGAUAAUGACAGAGAUGGGGCUCUCAGUGAUGCCGAGUUGAAUGAUUUUCAGGUUAGAUGUUUUAGUGCUCCAUUGCAACCAUCUGAAAUAGUGGGUGUUAAGAAGGUUGUACAAGAUAAGCUGCCUGAGGGGGUUAAUGACCAUGGUCUCACCUUGACUGGAUUUCUUUUCCUCCAUGCACUUUUUAUAGAAAAGGGGCGCCUUGAAACAACAUGGACGGUUCUAAGGAAAUUUGGAUACGACAAUGAUAUGAAACUAAGGGAAGAUCUUAUUCCAGUUGCAUUCAAACGGGCUCCUGACCAGAGUGUGGAGUUAACAAAUGAAGCUAUGGAGUUCUUGAAAGGGAUCUUCUUCAUGUUUGACAUUGAUGGUGAUGGGGCACUACGGCCUGCUGAGCUCGAUGAUCUCUUUUCAACUGCACCUGAGAGUCCAUGGGCUGAAGGUGUUUAUAAGGAUGCUACAGAGAAGAAUGCAUUGCAAGGAUUAUCACUUGAUGGAUUUUUGUCACAGGACCUGAUGAUGUGGAGCCUACGAUUCCAUGUCACCUUGAAAGAAGAGACCUGGUCUGAUACUGUUUGGAAAGCAUUGAAAUCAAUAAGGAACCUGCUGUGGACCCUUAUGACACUAGUAGAGCCAGCUAGCAGUUUAGCAAAUUUGAUCUACAUUGGAUACAGUGGGGAUCCGGCUUCCGCAUUCCAUAUAACUAGGAGGCGUCGUUUAGAUUGCAAGCGGCAACAGUCACAGAGAAAUGUUUUACAGUGCUAUGUAUUUGGACCUAAAAAUGCUGGAAAGUCCGCACUGUUGAAUGCACUUAUUGGAAGGCCUUUCUCAGAAAAAUAUACUGCAACCACCAGCGAGCGUUUUGCAGUAAAUGUUGUUGAGCUACCAGGGGGUAGUAAGAAGAAGACCCUUGUAAUGCGUGAGGUACCCGAAGAUGGAGUUAAAAAGCUAUUGUCUAGUAAAGAGUCCUUGGCAGCUUGUGACAUAGCAGUAUUUGUCUACGACAGUUCUGAUGAAAAUUCAUGGAGAAAAUCAAUGGAAUUGCUUGUGGAUGUUGCUAGUCAUGGAGAAGUUACAGGUUUUGGGAUGCCUUGCCUCGUGGUUCCAACCAAGGGCGAUCUUGACCCAUCUCCAAUGGCUGUACAAGAUUCAACAAGGGUCUGCCAUGUAAUGGGAAUUCAAGCGCCUAUACCUGUCAGCAUGAAGUUAGGAGAUUCCAAUAAUGUGUUCCGUCAGAUUAUUGUUGCAGCACAGUGCCCCCAUUUGAACAUUCCUGAAACUGAAGCUGGGAAAAACCGCAAGCAGUAUCGGCUGCUUGUAAAUCGCUCACUAAUGUUUGUUUCAGCUGGUGCUGCAGUUGCGAUUGUUGGGUUGGCAGCCUACAGAGUAUAUGCAGCAAGAAAGAACAUCCCUAGUUAGGAUCCCUGUCCUACUAUUGAAUAUGGUCAGAACUGGGAGCAUGUUGCUUUCUUCAAUUUUCAACAUGAAGGCCCUACUCCAAAGUAACGUGAUGGCAAUUCAGAGCCUCAGAAUACACGUCAGGGAACUUGCAAUUUGGUUAUUGUACUUUAUUUGAUUAUUAAGUUGGAGGUCAAUCUUGUAGUGCAUGCAUCAUUGUUAGGAAGAAUCAAAAUCUUCAGCCCAUUACACUUUGAUUGUUUUCACUUUAUCGGUUAUAAAUUGCAAUUCAAUUUGAUAGGGCAUCCAAACAA